AUGUUCUUUAAAAUUAAAAAAUUUGGCGGUAUUUUAGUCAAUUCAGAGGAACCUGUUUUGUAAUUGAUAGUUCACGAUAAGAUUAACUUAUUUUUUUAAUUUGUAUAUCGUUGUUUAGAAUUUCUUUUUUGGGAUAAUUUUCUAUUGUUUUAAGAAAAAUAAAUUUCAGAUCAAGGUGCAGUUUAUAAAUAAGAAUUGAUGGGUUACAAUAAAAUUAUAUUCGGUUAUUUAUUUUAAAUUUUAAAUAUUGAAAGGAUUUGAUUGUAAUUAAAGGAAUUUUCUUUUAAUGAUUAUUGUUCUGAAAUAUGUACAUAUUGCCCGUCGCUUUCAUGAUAUAUGAGAUAAGUCGUAACAAAGUAGAUGUACUGGAAAGUGUAUCUAGAAAUAUCAAAUUAAAGCUUUAAGAAAGCUUUUUAUUUACAUUAAGAUGAUUAUUGUGAAACUCAGUAUAAUUUGAUAUUUAAAUAAUUAUUAUUUUUUGUUUAUAGAAAAAACUUUUGUUUAUUAUUUAAAUAGAAAAAUAUUUUCUAUUCGAUUUUUAAGAUAUCUAGUUUUUUAAGAAAAGAAUUUAAUUCUAUUAUUAUUUAUUUAAAUUUUAAUUUUUAAAAUUUAAGUUUUAAUAUUAAAAAUUUAAUGGGAUGAUCUUUUAAUUUUAAAAUUAAAAAUUUUUAAACGUUUAAUUUUUUGUAUAAUUUGAAUUGUUAAUCAUAAAUAAUUUUAUAGUUAGAUAUUUAUAUUAAGAUUUAAUUAAUUUUAAUUUUUAUAUUAAAAAUAAAUGUUAAAUUUUGAACUUUUGUUAUUAUGAUUAGAUUAGUAAUAUAAAUUUUAUUUUAUAAAAAAAAGUCAGGUUAGAAAAAGGAAUUCGGCAAAAAAUUUUCCUGCCUGUUUAUUAAAAACAUGUCCUUUAGAUAUUGAUUUAAGGUCUAAUCUGCUCAAUGAAAAUUAAAUAGCUGCAGUAUUUUAACUGUACGAAGGUAGCGUGAUAAUUAGUUUCUUAAUUAGAAACUUGUAUGAAUGAUUUGACAAGAAAGUUUCUGUCUCUUUUUAAUUUUUUGUGAAUUUAACUUUUAAGUUAAAAGGCUUAAAUAUAUAUAAAAGACGAGAAGACCCCAUAGAGUUUAAUUUUUUAAUUUAUUUUAGAAUUAUUUAUAUUAAAAAAAAUUAAUUGGGGUAAUUUAAAGAUAAAAUAAAUUCUUUUAAUAUAAAAUCAUUAAUUUAUGAAUUUAAAAUCUAAUUUAUUAAAUUUAAAUAAAGUUACCUUGGGGAUAACAGCGUGAUUUCUUUUUAGAGUUCUUAUCAAAUGAGAAGAUUGCGACCUCGAUGUUGGAUUAAAAUUAAGUUUAGGUGUAGGGGCUUAAAUUUUAAGUCUGUUC
rnacentral:rRNA from 1 species